rnacentral:lncRNA from 1 species
AUGGUCUUAAAUUCUCACAUUUCUGAGAAAUAUGGUGUCUCAAGAUGUUUCUGGAUUCUCAUCAAAACACCUGCAUAAUGUAUUAUGAAUACAUUUGGUAUCAUAAAAGAAAAACUCUGCCCUGGAACUGACCCAUUUUUAAAUGCAUUUGCAGGUGUUUGGAGAGGGGCUGACCCUAAAUCUUGAAGAUAUUUGGCCUCAGAAAAGUAGAAUUCAUUGAGACCAAAGAUGAUUCCUCGCUCUUGAAAGGGAAAGGUGGUGAGUCACAAGCUGAAAAAUGUAUUCAAGAAAGGUUGCUGCUAGUGAGGACGAAGAGGGAGAACUGAAUGAGCAUAUGGCAAAUGUUCAGAUACAACAGCCAUGCUGCAGUCUGGCGGGACAACUGAGGUACAGUGAAUGUAAAGGAAGCGUUCCCGAUGCAACUGGGGGCUGCUACAGCUGGUUUUGAAGAAGGCAUCUUGCUAAGGAGGUGGCUGGGCUUGGCUUCCAUGUGUUUCACCUUUGGACUCACUAAAUCCAAUGAAUGAAGAUUUCAAAAACCAAUGCAGAAAUUACUCUUGAAAACAUUCAAACUGUCUGCAAUAACCUUGCCAAGAACACCAGAAGGGCCCUUGACAGCUGAGAACGUUAGGCAAAACCAUUCCGAAGUUGGUUGUGAUGCUUCGCUCCGAGAUUUUGCGGCUAGGGCGGGAAAGGCACUGUCGGCACUAUUAAGGUACUAAGGGCUGCUUCCCUGCUGUGUGAAACCGAGCACAAGUGAUCUCGAAGACCCCGAAGAGGAGGAGGAGCCUGGCAUGGGCACGGUGGGUGAAGGUGGCAUGGAGGUAGCAUGUUCUGAUGCCUCAGAUCGCGCAUGAUCACCACUAAUGAACUGUUACCAGAAGUUCAAAGCAUGAUUCUCACCAAUAAGGUCAGAGAAACUGAAAACUAAAGAACAGGUUAUGGGUUUCAGUUGACAAGGUACAGGAUGGUUUAUGGUUGUCACUGUGCAUGUCCAUAGAUAACAUAUUUUGUGGUUUUGAACGAAAAAGGCAUUUGUAUAUUCCUUUUUUUAAAAUGCCACCUAUGAUUUCAAAGUUUAUUCUGCAACCCACCAAACAGGCCCCUGCCCCGCCCCCCCCGGUGGAGAAGGCCAAGCCUUGACCAGUGCGGGCAGGGUUUCUUCCAGCCUGCUCCCCUCCCCUCCUCCGACACCUACUCCCACUGCACGCCUGAUUCUAAUCCUCUGGAACUCUGUUCCAUGGUAAGCAACCUCCUCAGUAUUAGCCUAGGGGUAGGGAACUUUCUUUUCCUGCUUCCUUUGGAGCCUGGGCACUGCUCCUUCCUCUCCACUCUUCCCAGACUCCCAGAUCUGUCCUCCUUUCUCCUCAAAGAGACCUUUACUCAUUUUCCUUCAAGUCAAUCCCUCCUUCCCUCCCUGUGCCACUUGGUUGCCCACCACUACCCCCCACAGACCUUCUAAAGGCACCUUAGUGGCUUACCAUCUUUUUUUCUAUCCUGCAAUCUGCCAUCAAGUCAGGCACGUUAAUGUCCUCGUGGACAGUAAAUCCACUCCACCGGCCCCCACUCCCCUUCCUUCCCUCCCUGCCCUGUUUUACAAGGUGGUUUUUGAAUCACCCGCCUUGUUCCACCCGAGGCAGUUUCAGUCCUCCUCCGGCUCUCUGAUCUCAUCUUCCUCUCCUGAGACCUCUUUCCCUUAAAUCCACUAACUCUGACUUUGCAUCAGCUGGAGCUCUGCCAUCCCCCAUUCUCUCCACAUUCCCCAUCUUCUCGGCUCCCUCAAGGUUUUGCUUCCUUCUCCUUCCAGCCCAGACUCGAGGACCCAGAGCUUCAGCCACUCUUUUGGCAGUACUCUAACCCAUGACCUGUCAGUUCAUUUCAUGAUACACAUCCAACGUGAAACAAGAAACAUAACUGACCACCUAUCUCUGACAUUCCUUCCUUCCUCUCUCCCUUUCCUCCUUCCUUCCUUCCUUCCUUCCUUCCUUCCUUCCUAAAUUGCAUAAAGUUUACUACUGGACUGACCUUCCUUCAUUUUAGAACAUUCCACAAAAAUAGAAAGGCAUAUAUGACAAGAUUUCGAAUGACCAAUAUAGUAAGAGCUUUGGUAUUCUCGGCUCAUUCCGGGUGGGUUGUCUCACACAGUCCCUGGAGGUUUGCACACCCCAGUCUGAGAGCCAGAGUCCUAAGCCCUGUCACUUUUUUCCCUCAGUCACACUCACCCUGCAAACCAAACCUGAAUCCAUCUAGCCAUGAGGCUCCCUUUCUAUACCAGGUGGCUGCAUGAAGCUGGGGAACCGGCUGAGCCCCAGGUGACCUCUCCAGACUUAGCCUUUCCCCUCAGGGCAACAUCGCUGAUAGCCUCUGGGAGCACAGUCAAGCCAACUGGAAAGAAAACUCCCUUCAUCUUUGUAUCACCAGUGCCCAGCACAGUGCCUGGCACUUGCCUGUGACCCAGUAGUGUUUGUUGUGCUGAACUGUGUACACAUGUGUCACACCCACCACCCCGCCUGCAUCGUGGUAAAGGCAUGAGGAGCACGUGGAGAAAGCCCAGUGGGUCAGGAGGUCCCCGCUGAGCGUGUGCUCAGUUCUGAAGCGGUGUGAGGAACACUUGCUCUCACAGCACCUGUCGCACACCGACCCGCCCAACAGACUGGCCCUUCAGAAGCCAGACACUGCGCAGCUGACCCCAGCCUGACUUAGGCCAUGUGCACCUGAGACAGCUUAAUCAAAGCCCAUGCCUCACCUUCCCUAUUCUGGGAGGGGGUGGGGGUGCUGUGGAGGGAGGCAUUAGGGCCCCUCCAGACAGUCUUCUCUUUCCCCAGAUGCUUGGAGCAGCCUGGGCUCAGGGUCCUACUGCACCCCCAUCUCCUUCAGACUUCCCCUCACAGAAGGAUUCCUCGGCUGUCAGAAGGAAGAGGUGGACAGGGGAGUGACAAAUUUUGAUUGCGGUGGAUGCAAUAAGGAGGACAGGGCAAACACUUAGCAGACGUGCUGGGGAGAGCUAAGGAGAUGUGCUUCUGACCAAACACUCCUCUGGUGAGGGGAUCUUUCACAUCUGUCCAUUCCCUGCCCCCUGCCUGCCACCUGUCACCUGGAGACGCAUCCCCAGGUAAGCUGGGCCUUUAGAAGGACACAUAACAACUAUGGCACUUUCUCAGAGGGGUGAAGAUGAUUCGGGCAAAAUUCUCUCCCCUCCUGUCAGUUCUUCCAUCUUCUCUUUGUACCCCCCUACCUAGACCAAUAUUUUAUAACCAGGGGUCCACGGACUGAACCCUACAUCAGAGUCACAGGCCUAUUAGCAAUGCAGACUCCUGGGCCUCAGACAGAUGGCAUCAGAAACUCUGAAACCAGAGCCAGAGAAUCUGCAUUGUUUUGCCCAUGAAAGUUUGAGAACCACUGAAAACAGUUACUUCUCUAUUUUUCCCAACUGUGCAUCCUUAAUCCUUAAUCCCCUCUCAUCUUGCCACCAUCCCCCCUCUGCCACUCCACAUCUCAGGCCAUCAUGAUAAAGCCCAGGGAGACACAAAUGGAAGGACCUAGGCAGGAAUAAGAGCCCCCUGGGCUCUCACCCUCCUGUGUUGACCAUGAGCUCUUCCCUUACUGUACUUUAUUUUAAUUAACCUAGGACAUCUCACGUGGUUCUUAGGGGCCCUGCUUAACUUAAUUUGGCCCACUUGCCCAAAAUGAAUACUGGGCCAGCUGGGUACUUAGUACACUGGACUCAAAGUUGCCAGGGGGAAACUAAGGAAAUCAGGGACCUGAGGUCUGGCCUAAUGUUGAUCUAUUUUGGGCCAAAGCCACGUCUACUAAUAGGUCUCUACUAAUAGGUCUGCCAAGAUGGAAAUCUUAAUCAAUGCUAAACAAGGGUUAUAAAUAAUGGGGACGUUUGCCAUCCACUUACCUCCCGGGGAUGGGUUGUGAGCUAGAGAUGGCGAUGACCACGCAACACUCUAAACCUGAAGAAAAUUCUCUGAACCAUUCUUCCACUUACAGAGUUUUUGAGGCACCGGUCCCCGUGCGGCUCUGACAAGUGAGCUAUUUUCGUACAUGAACAGGUAGAGCUAUUGUUAUCUCUGCUCUGAAUCAAGGACUAAAAGGAAAGGUGAGAGGGAGAAGGAGGGCAUGAGAGAGAAGAAAUGGAGGGGAGGUGCAGCAGUGCGGGGAGGGGGGGGUACACCGGAAACCAAAAGGAAAGGAACCAGGCACUCUUCCCAGGGCUGGAGUAACCAAUGGGUCACUGUGUGGAUCCAAGGCACCACGUGGCUCCUCAGCAACCACAGUGAGAGGCCCUCCCUCUGGUCUCACAGGAUUCUGGAGGGACUCAGCAUGCGUGUCAAAGGGCUUCGCAAAUGGUGAAGGGAUAUCCAUACAGAGUGUCAGCUCUCUACCUGCAACAAGGGAGCUAGUGCCCCUUUCCAACACCCCCACCCAAAGACUCGAGACACCACAGGCCAUAAGGAAGCUCAACUAACAGACACAGUUUCCAUCGGUGCAUGCAUUUCCACCGCCCUCCUGCCAGAUUACCUAGGAAUCUCAACGAGAGUGCUAUCUUAGCAAGAAACCGAAAACGAGAACAGAAUAAGCCCAAGGACGUGCUGCAUUCCUAUGGUAACACACCCCACCGCGGGUCAGCGCUCCACAUAUGUUCUAAUGUCUUGACACAUACUUGUUUUGAGACCAGCAGGACCUCUGCCACAGCUUCCCAUGUUCUGCCUCGUCAGCAUGAAAGAUCUGCUGCCAUAGACUUGUUCGGCUCCCCCCCCUCCCCCCGGGGGCUCUCCUCCUCCGAGUCUGACUGAGAAGCUUACACCAUCGCUGUAUGAAGACACUUCCUUCAGUUCUCAUUUCUGACUCACCCCCUUGGGCUUCCGGGGUCCACUGAUCCGCAGGCCGGCAAGAUGUGCUCGCCUCCAGGACCUGACCACUGGAGGGCGCCAGAGAGCAAGGAGGGCCCACGGUUUCCCGGGGAAGCGCUGAAUGCCCCGGCACACCCAGCUCCCUCCUCCAGGCCAGACACUGUGAGGCUUCUUAACAGUUUCUAGAUCCGCCAGAAACAAACACCUCACCUUCACCGUAAGCUUCCUUGGUAAACUCUUAUUUUCUUCUUUAUCAAGUUUGGGUGGAAAACAAAACAAUUAAUUUAGAAAGCAGCACACAAGAACCUAAACA